rnacentral:rRNA from 1 species
GAUAUGGCUCAGGACGAACGCUGGCGGCGCGCCUAACACAUGCAAGUCGAACGAGCGAGAGAGAGCUUGCUUUCUCGAGCGAGUGGCGAACGGGUGAGUAACGCGUGAGGAACCUGCCUCAAAGAGGGGGACAACAGUUGGAAACGACUGCUAAUACCGCAUAAGCCCACGGCUCGGCAUCGAGCAGAGGGAAAAGGAGCAAUCCGCUUUGAGAUGGCCUCGCGUCCGAUUAG